rnacentral:rRNA from 1 species
AUUGAACGCUGGCGGCAGGCUUAACACAUGCAAGUCGAGCGGAGAUGAGGUGCUUGCACCUUAUCUUAGCGGCGGACGGGUGAGUAAUGCUUAGGAAUCUGCCUAUUAGUGGGGGACAACAUUCCGAAAGGAAUGCUAAUACCGCAUACGUCCUACGGGAGAAAGCAGGGGAUCUUCGGACCUUGCGAUAAUAGAUGAGCCUAAGUCGGAUUAGCUAGUUGGUGGGGUAAAGGCCUACCAAGGCAACGAUCUGUAGCGGGUCUGAGAGGAUGAUCCGCCACACUGGGACUGAGACACGGCCCAGACUCCUACGGGAGGCAGCAGUGGGGAAUAUUGGACAAUGGGGGGAACCCUGAUCCAGCCAUGCCGCGUGUGUGAAGAAGGCCUUAUGGUUGUAAAGCACUUUAAGCGAGGAGGAGGCUACUGAGACUAAUACUCUUGGAUAGUGGACGUUACUCGCAGAAUAAGCACCGGCUAACUCUGUGCCAGCAGCCGCCGUAACAC